rnacentral:lncRNA from 1 species
GUGAAAUGAAUACGCAGACAGGACUGCUCCCUUGCGAUGACUUGAUUUGUCAAGAGUUGGUUAAACGGAGAAAUGAAUACGCAGACAGGACUGCCCCCUUCCGAAGACCAGUACUUGAUUUGUCAGUCUACUUAUCGUUUUUGGAUUGUUCUAAUGAAGUUAUAUGCAAUACUCAGACUCUGUUCACAAAAAACUAGUUUACUAGAAUUAUUCCUUUUUUACCUUCAGUGCCGCUUUUCCUUUUCUGCAAGAGCCUGUUUU